UGGGGAAUAUUGCACAAUGGAGGGAACUCUGACGCAGCGACGCCGCGUGCGGGAUGAAGGCCUUCGGGUUGUAAACCGCUUUUGAUUGGGAGCAAGCUUUCGGGUGAGUGUACCUUUCGAAUAAGCGCCGGCUAACUACGUGCCAGCAGCCGCGGUAAUACGUAGGGCGCAAGCGUUAUCCGGAAUUAUUGGGCGUAAAGAGCUUGUAGGCGGUUCGUCGCGUCUGGUGUGAAAGCCCAUCGCUUAACGGUGGGUUUGCGCCGGGUACGGGCGGGCUAGAGUGCAGUAGGGGAGACUGGAAUUCCCGGUGUAACGGUGGAAUGUGUAGAUAUCGGGAAGAACACCAAUGGCGAAGGCAGGUCUCUGGGCUGUUACUGACGCUGAGAAGCGAAAGCGUGGGGAGCGAACAGG
rnacentral:rRNA from 1 species